UACGGGGGGGGCAAGCGUUGUUCGGAAUUACUGGGCGUAAAGGGCUCGUAGGCGGCCAACUAAGUCGGACGUGAAAUCCCCAGGCUCAACCUGGGAACUGCGUCUGAUACUGGAUGGCUUGAAUCCGGGAGAGGGAUGCAGAAUUCCAGGUGUAGCGGUGAAAUGCGUAGAUAUCUGGAGGAAUACCGGUGGCGAAGGCGGCAUCCUGGACCGAGAUUGACACUGAUGAGCGAAAGCCAGGGGAGCAAACGGG
rnacentral:rRNA from 1 species